GCCUGCUCUUCCAAGCGGCAGAAGUGGCGGAGGAGGGAUGAGCGCCCAAAAGGAGCCCCUUUGGGCUGCUCCUUCCUCCUCCUCCACCUUUGCCACUGUCAGCGGCGGCGGAGGAGGAACAAGCAGCCCGAAAGCAGCCCUUUCAGGCUGCUUGUUCUUCCUCGGCAGCUGCCUCCACCACCAGGUUUGUGGUGCGGUGAACCGACUUAUAUUCGAGUCAGUAAGUUUCCCCAGUUUUUUGUGCUAAAUUUAGGUGCCUCGGCUUAUAUUCGGGGCGGCUUAUACUCGAGUAUAUACGGUAGUUAGUUUUUUGAAUUUAUACUUCACUUCCCACAACAGAAUGUCCCACAGCAACUUACAGGAAUAAUUUACAGAAACAAAAUGCAGCAAUAAAGUAAAAAGACAUAAAAAUAUUUAAAAACAUAAUAACAUCCAAUCAUUGGUGGUUCCAAAAUGCCCAGGAAAACAAAAACAUUUUUGUCUGGCACAAGAAUGAUGAACCAGUUUCCUCCCAUGUGGGCCUCCCAGUUUUAUGCAGUGCUAAACUGUAUGCAAGAACAGAUGAAUGACUAUUCACAGCAGUAAAAAUGGGACAAAAUGCCAUCUUCCUAGCUUUGCUAUACUAAUACCUUUUAGUGGGAGAGGAAUCUUUGGGGCUGUUUCUGAUGGUGGUUUUGUAGUAGCAGAAAGCACUUUUGUGCACGCAAGACAUACCAUCUGGUUUUCACUAAUCUCCCCUACCUAUAUGCACCCAUUUUCUAUUGUGAACCACCUUGGGAUCUUUGGGUGAAAGGCUGGAUGAUGAUGAUGAUGAUGAUGAUGAUGAUAUCACACUGUUCCAGAGAGUCAUGCAGCCUUCAGGAACAUUUUGGGCAGUGCAAAGCAUUGUAGGGUGUGUGUGUGUGUGAAAAUCAAGUGCCCUGUCUUGUACAAGUCAAAGUGCUUUUAGUUACCACAAAACCACUAUAGGAUAUAAUAUUACCCAUGCUCUUUAACUUUAACUUUAGUAAGCUACCUGAAAAAUACCCCCCUCAAGCUCCUGUGAUCCUAUGUCAUUUCUUUCUGGUUAAGUGUCACAUGAAGCCCGUGAGAUGUUGAGCUCAUGAGCCAGAGGUCUGGCAUGAGAGAUGAGACAUGUGAGAGAAAACUGUUAAAUGAUUAAUACUGGGAAUAAAGAGAAGCCAAAAUUUGUUGUGUUAGUUGUAAGAUUUUGAACUAGUGGCAUAAUUUUUUUCAAGAGCCAACCUUUUUUUUAAAAUAUUUGAGGUUUGCAGAAUGCAUGUAUUCAGCACUUGUUUGGUUGUUCUAUUCUCACUUUGAUAUUUAUAUCAAAUCAAAUGUUAACUAUUAAAUAACCAAUUAAAAUAGUUCAAAAAUACAUUAAUUUUCUGGUCAGAGAACUGUCAUAGUGUAAUGGAAAGAUUAUGUGCAGCAUUCAGAUCUCAUACCAGCAAAAUCCCCAAUGAAGUAGCAAGGCUAAUCUAAUUUCCUAAGGGAGGGGUGAGGACUACUGAAUGUUUUUAUGUAUGAAAACACUAAAGCACUGUGCCUAAUAAAGAUAUUAAUUCCUCACCCAGCCCCAAUAUUUUUCAGUCCCACCUGACUCUUGGUUCUUCUGUCUACCAUGGCCCUGCAUGCUAAGCUCUGAGCAACAUCCACUAUUGCAUGAAGGCAGUCCCCCCACCCAUCUGCUCCAGAGUAGAUCUUUUGGGCAUGCCGGGAGCUGGGGGGGGGAAAGAAAAAUCAUUCCACCAGCAGUGUCGUUUCCACUGGCAAAUGGACGCUGUUGGAUUUUACCGUCUUAUUUCAAAUUUUGCUGAACCUUAAUGAAAGGAAACAGAAACAAACUGCUGAAAAUGCCUCUGUAAUGGCAUCUGGAUUUGGUGCCCUGAAGGAAUGAAUUAUGUGAUAUUGUAGAAAAGUCACCUGUCCAAUAAUCUGUAAGCAGGUGUGUGUGUGUGUGUGUGUGUGUGUGUGUGUGUGUGUACUUCUAAACUGCUAUAGAAAUUAGGCUAUAGUUCUAUGUACAGUGGUACCUCAGGUUACAUACGCUUCAGGUUACAGACUCCGCUAACCCAGAAAUAGUACCUCGGGUUAAGAACUUUGCUUCAGGAUGAGAACAGAAAUCGUGCAGCGGCAGCAGGAGGCCGCAUUAGCUAAAGUGGUGCUUCAGGUUAAGAACAGUUUCAGGUUAAGAACGGACCUCUGGAAUGAAUUAAGUACUUAACCCGAGGUACCACUGUACUUUCACUUGGAGGUAAGUCUCACUGAACUCAACAGGACUUACUUUCAAGUAUCCAUUUGUAGGAAUGUGCCAAUACCUGCAGACUACUGGCUCAUAAUGAACUUUAAUCGGACCAUUGAUACUAAAUAUGCUGCCUGCUCCUGAUUUUUUUGGUGUGUGUGUUUUCCCCACUCAACUUCAAAUAAAAUAAGAUGUUUUUCAA